CCAUAUAAAACUAAACUUUUUUGUCAUACUUAUACUCAUUCCAAAACGACAGGAUACAGAUUAUUGCUUUACUGCUUCACCCUGUUUAUUAAUAUGACUAAUUUUCAUUAUCAUUUUUGGAAAAGCUUAGUUCCAUGACGCCCCCCCCCCCCGCCUUUCAUUCUAUUAGUAAUGUAAAGUGCAAGAUGACCGCACCGCACACACAAGAUAAUGCAAGUAAUAAUAUCAAAUUAUGUGAAUGGACAUCAACAUUUUUUUAGUUCUAAGAACUUCUAAUAAUUAUUUCCAAACUGAAAUAUAUUAAUCUACUACUAGAAAUUGUUAUUACAGGUAAUUAGUUAUGCGGCGCAGAGGAGGUUUGAAUUAUAAGUGUGGGCCCCGGGAUGGGGGAGGGUCAUUGGAGUAGCGUUCGUGACAAAUAUUUAGUUUUCGGAGUCUCAAGCAGCCAGGGGAUCACGUGGCUAAGUGGUAAGGCGUUGGUUCGCUAGCCUGGAGGUCGGGUGUUAGAUCCCUGCAUUGGCCGAGAAAGUUCAUCCCGAUUUUCCGGCGUGGUUUCCCCUUGUCAGUGAUGCAUGACGGAGGGCCUGACAAGGACAGCUGUCUAGUCGUUUGGAUGGGGCGAAAAACCGAGGACCCUUGUACACAUUGGAGUGCACGUAAAAGAUCCGUUGGCAGUUAGAAGUCGAUAUAAGAGUAGGCAAAAUUUACCUCAUAGCACACUGCAUGGUGUAUGUCCGUCUUCAUUAGCCCAGUUUAGGAGCAGAACAGUAAGACGUUAAACCCCAUUUCAUUUCAUUUCAUUUCUCAAGCAGGCAAACUGCAGAGGUACCAUACUCCUUUUUGCGUUAACGAACUAAACUCGUAUGUUUUUUAUUUAUUUUAUUUAUUUAUAUGUAUAUAUUUUUGAGUGACAGAAAGAAUGCCCGAAUUUCAAUCAAUUACUUUCUAUAAUAUUCCAUAUUUUAACAGAAACACCAGCCUGGAAUCAAUUGAAUGAAGAAGAAAAAAGUAGUUACCCAAAAAAAAGCCAAAUCGAUUUGCCCUGUCAGCAGCAAAUAAGCUUUGUUCGGACAAAUUGCUUCUCUUAUAAGUUGUUGUCCUUUUGUAUCCUUUUGUAUUUGAAACAAUAAUGAGGGUCUGAAUGACACCUAGAUAUUCUAUUGCGUUUUGAAAAACGGUUCUUCAUAAUGUAUUUUAUUUUUUCAUAAUAUUUCAUUUUAGAUGACAGAAUUAUCAAAUAAAUAUGGAGUUGAUUUGGUUUGUGUGGGUCAUGACCGCAACAGCCAAAUACAAUAUCUUUUUGGCGAAGGUAACCCGUUAACCUUCACAAAGAAUUCCAAAGCAUAUCUUUCAAACCUAUAUGCCGACUGCUGCGCUGGAGGUGCCAGGGUAAUGUUUCAUAGAGUGGAAUGAUUGACCUCAACACAAGUAUUAAAAAAAAAGAAGCAAAACAGGUCUACAUCUCAAAACCUGAUGUCUUCCUGGAAUGGCUUUAGUAGAACGAUGAUGCAUAUCAAUUUCAUCCCUGAUCUCUAUGAUACCUGUGGUGGAAGUGGAGGGCAAAUCGUAAUCAGUUUGGGUUCCAGCCCCGAGGACCUCUGUAAACAUUGCUUUUUGGUGAUGACUUCAUUUCCGAGCUUGAAAAGGACGCCCUUGUGUUUAUCAUGGCCUCUCAUAUUGGAAGAUAACAUAAAUGGCUUGUGUGUUGAUCGACGGUUGUGCAUAUCUCUUGGUCAGGAAAGUUGUAGGCACCAUCGCCAUUGUAAAUCAUUUGACAGGCCAGAGUGAACAGGGAGACCUAUGAUUGGUCAGCAAUGUAUCAGAUUCCAUACUGGGGGGUGGGAAUGAAAAAACAGUUGUAGUGUUACAUAAUCAGAUUAUUUCAACUUACUUAUCCUGUGGAAAUACAGCUAUAUAGGAGAUAUUUUGAAAUUCAUAGGCACUGCAUGUUUCAACAUUUUAGAUUUGACCACAAUUUGGCACUUGAAACUAUGUUAACAGAGAAAAACUGUGUGGUUUUCGAUGAAAGUGUUAAAAGUCUAAUAUUGCAUCAUGAUUACUGUUUUAAAGUAUUUUCGUAUUUGAUUUAUAUUGAAUUCAUCUCAUCUUUUUGAAGAAUGCAUUUAUGUUCAAAAAUAAAAAUGUUCUGUGGAAUUCAAAAUUCAUGUGCUUUUAAAUUAUCAGAUUCCAAACUGGGGGGUGGGGAUGAAAAAGCUGUUGUAGUGUUACAUAAUCAGAUUAUUUCAACUUACUUAUCCUAUGGAAAUACAGCUAUAUAGGAGAUAUUUUAAAAUUGAUAGGCACUGCAUGUUUCAACAUCUUAGAUUUGAUCACAAUUUGGCAAUUGAAACUACGUUAACAGAGAAAAACUGUGUGGUUUUCGAUGAAAGUGUUAAAAAGUCUAAUAUUGCAUCAUGAUUACUGUUUUAAAGUAUUUUCGUGUUUGAUUUAUAUUGAAUUUAUCUCAUCUUUUUACAGAAUGCAUUUAUGUUCAAAAAUAAAAAUGUUCUGUUUAAUUCAAAAUCCAUGUGCUUUUAAAUUUAUGUCUGCAAUUCCGCAGUUUUCUGAUGUAUUAUAGUGUUUGCA